GUUUUUCUCCAUCCUGCUCCACGCAGUUGUUCUGGAAUGGAAUGGCAAAGCUGAGCGAGGCUUCAUAACGAAAAAAAGCUCUUCCUGUGAAGGCAAGCCCAUGCCAAAAUAAAUAGAUGUCUGCAGCAAAUUGUACAGAUGCUGUCGAAGAAGUUUCUCACUCAUGCCAUUGGUUAUGUUUUACAUCUGCCUGACAAUGGUCAAUGGAUGUUUUGCACAGUCAUCUUCAAGUAAAGGUAUCCUAUGAGUUAAAGGCAAACAUAUCCUGUCUCAUUGGAGUUUUUAUGUUGAUACAUACUUUUACUGAGGAGAAACCACCUAUGGAAGAUCCAUUGCAGUGGAAGACUCCACCUGGAUCAAAUCUAGUAUCUUUUCUGGUUGAUAGUCAUAUUCUUCCUAUGGCAGCCACAAGAGGAGGUCCAAAGGCAAAGCUCAGUUUAAAGAGGGAGGAACAUCCAAGUUACCAUUUGUCCCUUUGGAGCUGUAGUCCAACUGGAGAAAAAUACGGGCACAAUCCUUUGAUGAGAAAACCUUGA
rnacentral:lncRNA from 1 species